rnacentral:lncRNA from 1 species
AUGCUCAAAAUUCUCCAAGUCAGACUUCAGCAAUAUGUGAACCGUGAACUUCCAGAUGUUCAAGCUGGUUUUAGAAAAGGCAGAGGAACCAGAGAUCAAAUUGCCAACAUCCGCUGGAUCAUCAAAAAAGCAAGAGAGUUGCAGAAAAACAACUAUUUCUGCUUUAUUGACUAUGCCAAAGCCUUUGACUGUGUGGAUCACAAUAAACUGUGGAAAAUUCUGAAAGAGAUGGGAAUACCAGACCACCUGACCUGCCUCUUGAGAAACCUAUAUGCAGGUCAGGAAGCAACAGUUAGAACUGGACAUGGAACAACAGACUGGUUCCAAAUAGGAAAAGGAGUAUGUCAAGGCUGUGUAUUGUCACCCUGCUUAUUUAACUUAUAUGCAGAGUACAUCAUGAGAAAUGCUGGACUGGAAGAAUCACAAGCUGGAAUCAAGAUUGCUGGGAGAAAUAUCAGAAACAUCAGAUAUGCAGAUGACACCACCCUUAUGGCAGAAAGUGAAGAGGAACUCAAAAGCCUCUUGAUGAAAGUGAAAGAGGAGAGUGAAAAAGUUGGCUUAAAGCUCAACAUUCAGAAAAUGAAGAUCAUGGCAUCUGGUCCCAUCACUUCAUGGGAAAUAGAUGGGGAAACAGUGGAAACAGUGUCAGACUUGAUUUUUUUGGGAUCCAAAAUCACUGCAGAUGGUAACUGCAGUCAUGAAAUUAAAAGACGCUUAUUCCUUGGAAGGAAAGUUAUGACCAACCUAGAUAGCAUAUUCAAAAGCAGAGACAUUACUUUGCUGACUAAGGUCUGUCUAGUCAAGGCUAUGGUUUUUCCUGUGGUCAUGUGUGGAUGUGAGAGUUGGACUGUGAAGACAGCUGAGCACCGAAGAAUUGAUGCUUUUGAACUGUGGUGUUGGAGAAGACUCUUGAGAGUCCCUUGGACGGCAAGGAGAUCCAACCAGUCCAUUCUGAAGGAGAUCAGCCCUGGGAUUUCUUUGGAAGGAAUGAUGCUAAAGCUGAAACUCUAG